GCGCCGGUGGUGUAAUGGCGUAGAGCAUUCCCGCCCGGUCAGAGGGAGGUGCGGGUUCGAGUCCCGCCUGACGCU
rnacentral:tRNA from 1 species